rnacentral:lncRNA from 1 species
GUGGGGGUGGGGGGGGGAGGAUGAGCUUCCGGUCAGACAGAUCAGACUUGAAUCCUUGCUCUGCCAUUUUCUGGCUGUUGACCUUGUAUUAGUUUCUUAUUGCUGCAAAUUAAAACAACGCAAAUGGGUUAUCUCACAGUUCUGAAGGUUGGAAGUCCAACACAGCUGUCACUGGGCUAAAAUCAAGGUGUGAGAGCUGUAUUCCUUUCUGAAGGCUCAAGGGGAAAACCCAUUUCUGCUAUCGACUGAAUGUUUGUGUCCCCCAAAAUUCACAUGUGGAAACCUAAUCCCCAGGCUGAUAGUGUUAGGAGGUGGGGCCUUCGGAGGUGAUUAGGUCAUGAAGGUGGAAUCCUCCAGAAUGGAACUAGUGCCCUUAUAAGAGAUACCCUCAACCUCUCCCACCACCACGUGAAGACAUAGCGAGAAGAUGGCCAUCUACGAACCAGGCACUGAAUCUGCAUGCGCCUUGAUCUUGGACUUCCCAGCCCCAGAACUGUGAGAAGCAACUGUCUGUUGUUUGUAAGGCCCCCAGUCCAUGGCAUUUUGUUAUCACAGCCCAAGCUGACUAAAACAGUUCCCUUGCCUUUUCCAGCUUCCGGAAGCUGCCCACGUUCCUCGAUUCACAGCCGCUUUCCUUCCCUCCAUCCUUAGAGCCAACACUCUGACGCGCUUCUAUAGUCACAUCUCCCUCUGGCUCACUCCUUCCCCUCCCUUUUAAGGAACUUAUCAUUGUGUUGGGCCUACCUGGAUAAUCCAGGAUAAUCUCCCUAUUUUAAAGUCAGGGAUUAGCAACCAUAAUCCCCUCUGAAACAUUAAUUCACCUCCACCAGGUGACCUAACAAAGUCACAGGUUGCAGGUAUUAGGACAUGGGCACCUUUGGGAGGCCAUUAUGCUGCCUACCACAAAUCCAGAGUAGUUAUAUAACCCUCAAGAGUCCAUUUCUUUAUAAAGCUGAAUUCCUUCAACGUUGGGAGCAGGGAUCAGGGCCAGUGAUUAUAUUAGUCAUCUAUUGCUGUGUAACAAAUUGCCCCAAAACUUAGUGGCAUAAAAUGCUAUUAUCUCACACCCCUUCUGAGGGUCAGAAAUUAGUGAGCAGCUUAGCUGAGUAGUCUAGUGCGGGGACUGUCGUAAGGCUCCAGUCAUUGGAAAGAUUGGCCAGGGCUGAAAAGCUCCCAAGAUGGUUCCCUCAGUGGCUGUUGGCAGGAGGCCUCAGUUCCUCGCACGUGGACCUCUCCACAGGGCUGCUUGUGUGUCCUCACGAUGUGGCAGCUGGCGCCCCCUAGAGAGAGUGAUCCAAGAGAGGAAAACAGAAGCCACAGUGUCUUACCUAGCCAUGUACAUACAUUACCUAUUUAAAAUAAUUAACUGGGGCCAACCCCGUGGCUGAGUGGUUAAGUUUGCACACUCUGCUUCAGUGGCCCGGGGUUUCAUAGGUUC